GACAUCAUGAUGACGAAAACUUUAAGGAACAAUGCUUCAAAAAGUUGGCAUCCAUCAAUAAAAACCCUCCUCACCUGGAUAUGCACUCUUCUCAUUGCCACCAUCAUGGAGGAGGUACAGGAGCCUGAAGGCACACACGCUUUUAGGUUUGCAGAUGACACCACUGUUGCUGAUUGAAUUAAAGGAGGUGACAAGUUUGCCAUCAGGAGGGAGAUGGAGGAUUUGUUUGAAUGGAGCCAAAACUACAAGCUCUCACUCAACAUCAGCAAAACUAAAGAGUUGAUUAUUCUCUGCAAGAUGAAGAAACAGUGAACCGGGAGGAAGAAACAGGAGGGCCAUGAGCCAGCAAUCAUCAGGGUAUUGGAGUGCAGAGUCAGUAACUUUAAAUUCCUUGUCAUUAUCAUUUCAGAGGAUCUGUCCUGGGACGGACAGUAAGUGCCACUAUAAAGAAGGUGCGGCAGUGACUCUACUUGGAAGUUUGUGUAUAAUCGACCUGACAUCUAAAACUUUGACAUAAUUUAUUUGUAUGCACGGUGAACAGUAUCCUGACUGGUUGCAGCAUGGCCUGAUAAGGAAACACUAAAACCCAGGAACAGAAAAUGCCUACAUAAAAUAGUGGAUACAGCCCAGUUCAUCACAGGCAAAGCCCUCCCAUCAUUGAGUUCAUUUUCAAGGUGUGCUGCUACUGGAAAGCAGCAUCCAUCAUCAAGGGCAGCCUUCCUCUACUCCAUGCUCUCUUCUCGCUGCUGCCUUUGGGAAGGACGUACAGGAGCCUUAAGUCCCACACCACCAUCUUCAGGAAGAGUUAUUACCCUUAAGAGUGAUUAGUCCUGCUGUUGAAACUGCAUGGAUAACUUCACUGAACUGAUUCCAUAAACUACAGAGACACUUUCAAGUAUUCUGCAACUCAUGUUCUCAGUAUUAUUUUUUAUUAUUUGCAUAAUUUGUUUUAUUUGGCACAUUUGUUGUCUGUCAGUCUUUACUGUUCAUAGUUUACAUAAAUUCCAUUGUAUUCUUUUUCCUGUUUAUCCCUGAAAGGAAAUGAAUAUGAAGGUAGUAUAUGGUGACAUAUACAUACGUUGAUAAUCACUUACUUUGAGUGUGAUAAGUGUUUGUUGGUUUCUCCCCAAAACAGCAAAAGAUUGAUCACACAAAAAUAUAGAAAAUACAAAUAUCAAGUACUUACAAGACCGUGGAGCGUCAAAUUCUGCAGAUUUUCACGUGUAGGAGUCAAAUUAAAAUGUGAUUAUUACAGUCUAGAACACAGUCAAUUCCCGUGGGAUGGGGGGUGGGUGUGCGUCACCGUUCCUGGAUAUUCCCCACUGUACUAAUACUAUUUACAAUGCUCGCAAGUUUCCUGAUUGACAGCUCCCUCGCACGGAAUGACGGUCAUGUGACAUACGUGUGGCCGACCUGAAGCGCGCUGACGUCAGAGAGGGCCUUCCUUCAGCGACGUCGUUUCCUGGGAAACGAUCAGGGACGGUGGGUCUGCGGUGAAGUGGAUUUGGUCUCCAUUGUGGGAAUCGGCAUCUCCUCUUCCUGCCCACGGAACAACUCCUGCACCUCACCAACCAUAGAUGUGAAGUUAACAGGACCACAGUCACUUGGUUUUGUCUUCCGCCCUAUUUCAAAAAUGGAUUUCCACUCCACUGAGACCUUCCUGGCACACAGUG